AAAAACUUAAUUAAAAUUAUAAUAUAGAGUUGUCAAUUCUAAUUUAUCCCUCAGGAUAGUUUUUA
rnacentral:tRNA from 1 species